CAUAUGCCGAGAGGUGAAAUGAAUUUCGCCUGAGGAUGAGCUCGCGUCUGAUUAGCUAGUUGGUGUGGUAAUGGCUCACCAAGGCUUCGAUCAGUAGCUGGUCUGAGAGGAUGAUCAGCCACACUGGGACUGAGACACGGCCCAGACUCCUACGGGAGGCAGCAGUGGGGAAUUUUCCGCAAUGGGCGAAAGCCUGACGGAGCAACGCCGCGUGAGGGAUGAAGGCCUCUGGGCUGUAAACCUCUUUUAUCAAGGAAGAAGAUCUGACGGUACUUGAUGAAUAAGCCACGGCUAAUUCCGUGCCAGCAGCCGCGGUAAUACGGGAGUGGCAAGCGUUAUCCGGAAUUAUUGGGCGUAAAGCGUCCGCAGGCGGUUUUACAAGUCUGUCGUUAAAGCGUGGAGCUUAACUCCAUUUCAGCGAUGGAAACUGUAGAACUAGAGUGUGGUAGGGGCAGAGGGAAUUCCCGGUGUAGCGGUGAAAUGCGUAGAUAUCGGGAAGAACACCAGUGGCGAAGGCGCUCUGCUGGGCCAUAACUGACGCUCAUGGACGAAAGCCAGGGGAGCGAAAGGGAUUAGAUACCCCUGUAGUCCUGGCCGUAAACGAUGAACACUAGGUGUCGGGGGAAUCGACCCCCUCGGUGUCGUAGCCAACGCGUUAAGUGUUCCGCCUGGGGAGUACGCACGCAAGUGUGAAACUCAAAGGAAUUGACGGGGGCCCGCACAAGCGGUGGAGUAUGUGGUUUAAUUCGAUGCAACGCGAAGAACCUUACCAGGGUUUGACAUCCUGCGAAUCCCUUGGAAACGAGGGAGUGCCUUCGGGAGCGCAGUGACAGGUGGUGCAUGGCUGUCGUCAGCUCGUGUCGUGAGAUGUUGGGUUAAGUCCCGCAACGAGCGCAACCCACGUCUUUAGUUGCCAGCAUUUAGUUGGGCACUCUAGAGAGACCGCCGGUGAUAAACCGGAGGAAGGUGUGGAUGACGUCAAGUCAUCAUGCCCCUUACAUCCUGGGCUACACACGUACUACAAUGCUACGGACAAAGGGCAGCAAACUCGCGAGAGCUAGCAAAUCCCAUAAACCGUGGCUCAGUUCAGAUCGUAGGCUGCAACUCGCCUACGUGAAGGAGGAAUCGCUAGUAAUCGCAGGUCAGCAUACUGCGGUGAAUACGUUCCCGGGCCUUGUACACACCGCCCGUCACACCAUGGAAGUUGGCCACGCCCGAAGUCGUUACUCCAACCCUUGUGGAGGAGGAUGCCGAAGGUGGGGCUGAUGACUGGGGUGAAGUCGUAACAAGGUAGCCGUACCGGAAGGUGCGGCUGGAUCACCUCCUAACAGGGAGACAAUACCUGAUUGUGAUGUCUGAGUAAUUUAAUCUCAGGCCAUGAUCCUGUCAUCUCGAAGGUCGAUCGGUACCUCAACUUGAGGGUAGGAGAAGAGCUGAGAAAUCAGUUUGGAGACUUAUCAAUCAAUUUCAGUUCCUAAACUUUGUCUAGGUCACCCCACAGCGGGUCACAACUCCUGGGCCAUUAGCUCAGGUGGUUAGAGCGCACCCCUGAUAAGGGUGAGGUCCCUGGUUCAAGUCCAGGAUGGCCCAUUCGUGUUUGGGGGUUUAGCUCAGUUGGUAGAGCGCCUGCUUUGCAAGCAGGAUGUCAGCGGUUCGAGUCCGCUAACCUCCAUCCAAUGAUGUUGCUCAUCCCUCGGACCAUGCACGGUUAGAAGCCGUGUGAGGUAAGGAGUUCUGCUGUUGUGUUGAUCUGGAUUGUUGUUCGCUGAAGAUUUCAGCUUCUUUUCAUUAUUGCCUGAUCGAGGCAAGGUUGAAAAGACGCUGGAUUCAGUCUAGCCCUGGCAACAGGGCUGUUUGAAUGUCAGCAGAACCUUGACAACUGCAUAGUUGAAGUCUGGAAAUAAAGCAUCUCAUGGAUGCUUGAUUCUAGCUUGGAUCCAAUCCAGGAAUGGAUAGGGUUUAGGAUGUGAAUCAAGAAAAUUCUAUUGAGUUUUUAGAGCCGAGAGCUUCCAGUUUUCUUUUGAGCCCGCCGAGGGUUUGGGAGUUUGAUCCUGGUAUUCAAACCACAGCCAAGCUUGUAAUUUCUUAUGAGCAAGGUUGUAGGUGAAUCUAGAGAGAAUAGGCCUCAACAGCC
rnacentral:misc_RNA from 1 species